rnacentral:tRNA from 1 species
UCUUAGGUAGUAUAGUGGUUAGUAUUCGAGCCUGUCAAGAAUUCAACUCCAGUACGCGCGAGACCGGGUUCAAUUCCUUGUCAGAGAG